rnacentral:rRNA from 1 species
GCUUGCUUUCUUUGCUGGCGACCGGCGCACGGGUGAGUAACACGUAUCCAACCUACCCUUUACUCGGGGAUAGCCUUUCGAAAGAAAGAUUAAUACCCGAUAGCAUAAUGAUUCCGCAUGGUUUCAUUAUUAAAGGAUUCCGGUAAAGGAUGGGGAUGCGUUCCAUUAGGUUGUUGGUGGGGUAACGGCCCACCAAGCCUUCGAUGGAUAGGGGUUCUGAGAGGAAGGUCCCCCACAUUGGAACUGAGACACGGUCCAAACUCCUACGGGAGGCAGCAU